UGUGACCACCACUCCGACCAGGAAACUGCGAUCCAGAUCAAGCUUGGCCAUCACGAGCUCUGGCCCCGUUCUUCCUUCUGUCUGCAUGAUUUGCAAGAAAGACAGCAAAUGUAUCGUCGCGAGUGGCAGACGUCAAAGAGAACGAAAACACAGACUUUAACCGCAGGCAAGUUGCAGGAAGCAGCCGAAGUAAAGGAAGCCAAGAGCAUCCUCAUUCACAUCAAGGACAGAGACUGUGUGGCUCUGGAGGUGCAGUACCACAGAAGUUGCUACAGAGAGUACACAAGGUUUUUGAGUGAGCCUGUCAGAGCAGAGAAAGAACAGAUUGGGCCAACAUUUGAUCUGAGCUACAAGUUAUUCUGCGAGAGGGUAAUCCGCUAAAGGCUACUGAUCAACCAAGAGGUGCUGAGGAUGAGCCAACUGAGGAAGGCCUUUAUUGCCCUUGUGCAGUCAAGUGAAGGUGUUGAUGCUUCAACCUACAGACAGGAUAUAUUGAAGAAGAGGCUCAGUCGUGAUUUUCCUCAGCUAGUGUUCCACACCCCCGCCAAACGCAACACAUCUGAACUGGUUUUUGCUGAGAACUUGUCGACGAAUGCAGUCUUGGACUUGUUACCAUCAGGUGCGGAGACGACUCAGUCCAGCGAAAUGAGCCAGACAGCGACACAGAAAGGAGGAAGUCAAAGCAACCAACCACAGCAGAGGAGACACGGACACUUUACACAGCAGCUUUGCUUUUGAAGAGGCUGCUUAGUCACAGUCCUGGCAUGUCAUGCCCAUGGCCCCCAACUGCAGUAAACUUCAAUCUCACUGAAGUCAUUUGCUGUGGCAUGCGCAAAAGAUGUGUACCUGGAUGCUUUCACACAGUUCAUGAAAAUGCUGGUUCAUGUGUAUGCCACUUGUUUUGAUUUUUUUAUUUGUUGUAUAGUUAUUAGUGAAUAAAUGAAUACAUGAAUACCUGAAUGGUCCUUAUCAUUGAUCAUUAGAUUAUUUCCAUUUAUUAAUGUGAAUAUGAAAAGGUAACCUUAUCAUCCACUUGCAUAAUAGUUGUUGGUGCUAUAAACAAAGCACUGUUACAAUCACUUAGAGGGUUAUCAAUAGCCUGGGUUAUCUAUAGCCUACUUAUUGUAAUUGUUUCCAUUAAUUGCUCAAAACCACAGGAUGAAAUGUCAAUUGCAAAAUUGUGCCUUGUGCUGUAAAUAAAGCACUGUUUAUGAUUUAUUUAGAACUUAUCCCAAUCCAGAGAUAUAUGCAUGAGUAUUAUUUUUGAUAAUUGUUAUUAUAUGUGAACAUGAAAAGGUAACCUUAUCAUCCACUUGCACAAUAGUUGUUGGUGCUAUAAACAAAGCACUGUUUGGAGUUACAAUCACUUAGAGGGUUAUCAAUAGCCUGGGUUAUCUAUAGCCUACUUAUUGCAAUUGUUUCCAUUAAUUGCUCAAAUCCACAGUAUGAAAUGUCAAUAGCAUAAUUAUGCUUUGUUCAGUAAAUAAAGCAUUAUUUAUUAUUUAUUUAGAAUUUGUCCCAAUCCAGAAAUGUAGGCACGAGUAUUAUUUUUGAUAAUUGUUAUUAUAUACCCUCUUCAAAAGGGUAUUUUGGGAGAUUCUUAUAGGUAGGUCAGACAGACGGCUUGUCAUUAUUUUCAGUUUUUCAAACGGCUUGCCACUUUUUCCCCGUAAAUCGGAUACGUGAUUGGUUUAAAACGGUCACAUGGUGUCCAGUGACGUAAAAAUCGUCAUUCCCUACAGAGGGUAAGAUUUCUUACUAAAAUGUCACCGUUUUAAUUACGUGCACGAUUACAUGAAGCGGACAUUUCACGGUAAGUUGAACAUAGCUUUGGUCGUUUCAUCAUCUAAGGGACCUGCUGUUCGGAAGCUGUGGAGCGAGGUUGAACGAAAAGGGCUGUCACCCUAC